GGAACCAACUUUGUCCUCCACCUUAGAGUGGAGGACAACCUCUAAGGACCACCUUAGAGGUAUUCCUUGGGUUAGAGCAUCGGAGGGGGUCCUGCCUGCCGUUCUCGACUCUGAUGCCUAACUUCCUUUGCGCUCAAGAGGGUAUUUCUUUCUCUAAGGGAAAGAAAUAGAGAAGCGGCGGAAGGAGACCUGCAUGGGCCAACGAGGAAGUCACAGCAGUGGCUGGGAAUAUCAGAUGAAAGAGUCUUUGAGGGGGAAUGACUUCCCUUUGAGGGCGGAGGAGCUGUUCAAAAAUCAGAUGAAGGUUGCCUGAGGACCGACGGAGAGCCAAUGUCACCGCAGUCUUGAGAAAGAGCAAGAAGGAUGGCCUGCGCAACUUUGCUCAGAGAUAUUUGUAAGGAGCAGCCACGGUG